AUGAAUAUUGAUUUAUGUAAACUGUUUACGGACCAAGAGAUUGGUGACACACUCUUUCAAAUUGGCCCACUUAAAGCUCCGGGUCCAGAUGGCUUUCCGGCAAGGUUUUUUCAAAGGAAUUGGGGAGUGCUGAAGGAGGAUAUUAUUCGUGCGAUUCAAAAGUUUUUUGAUACAGGUAUAAUGCCGGAGGGUGUAAAUGAUACGGUGAUUGUUCUUAUUCCUAAGGUGAAAAAUCCCCAAGCGAUCAAAGACUUCCAGCCUAUCAGUCUGUGUAAUGUUAUUUAUAAAAUUAUAUCUAAGUGCCUUGUGAACAGACUGAGACCGCAACUUGAUGGUAUGAUUUCUCCAACCCAAAGUGCCUUUAUCCCUGGGAGACUGAUAUCUGAUAAUGCUCUUAUUGCAUUUGAGUGUAUGCAUUCGUUAAGUACUCCGAAGGAUGGACGGGGUGAAUUCUGUGCUUAUAAAUUGGACCUUGCCAAGGCAUAUGAUAGAGUGGAUUGGAAUUUUUUGAAGUGCAUGUUGAGCGCGUUGGGGUUUGCAUCAGGGUGGAUAAAAUGGAUUAUGGCCUGUGUUACUUCAGUGAAAUUUUCAGUACGCUUCAAUGGCCAGCUCUUGGAGUCAUUCUCGCCAUCAUGUGGUAUCAGGCAAGGGGACCCUAUCUCACCAUACUUAUUCUUAUUUGUGGCCGAAGCUCUUUCUUUAUUGUUACAGAAUGCGUGUACUAGAGGAUCUCUUCUAGAGUUCAAGGUUAAUAGACAGGCCCCGGGUAUUUCACAUCUCUUGUUUGCCGAUGAUUGUCUUUUAUUUUUCAAGGGGUCCAUUGAGCAAGCCUUGGCAAUCAAAAAUAUUAUUGCGACUUAUGAGAAGGGAACGGGUCAACUGCUGAGCCCUGAUAAAUGCUCUAUCUUAUUCGGCAAGAAUUGUAGUAUGGAGGUCCAAGUGGUUGUUAUUGUAAUUCUAAGCAUUACCUCGAAGGGAUUUGAGGAUAAAUAUCUUGGGCUCCCGGUGCCACAAGGGAGAAUGAAGGCUGGUAAAUUUCAAUCCACUCAGGAAAAAGCCCUCAAAAUUUUAUCGGACUGGAUAGAAAAAUAUGCCUCGUGUGGGGCGAAAGAAACUUUGAUUAAAUCUGUCCCGCAAGCUCUUCCGGUGUACGCAAUGGGUAUUUUUAAAUUUUCGGCAUCACUCUGUGAGGAGUUGUCUCAGAUCAUAAGGAAUUUCUGGUGGGGUGACGAGGAGAAUAGGAGGAAGACUCAUUAG
rnacentral:rRNA from 1 species